rnacentral:misc_RNA from 1 species
GAAAUGCGAUAAUUAAUGUGAAUUGCAGAAUUCAGUGAAUCAUCGAGUCUUUGAACGCACAUUGCGCCCCCUGGUAUUCCGGGGGGCAUGCCUGUCCGAGCGUCAUUGCUGCCCUCAAGCACGGCUUGUGUGUUGGGCUUCCGUCCCUGGCAACGGGGACGGGCCCAAAAGGCAGUGGCGGCACCAUGUCUGGUCCUCGAGCGUAUGGGGCUUUAUCACCCGCUCCCGUAGGCCCAGCUGGCAGCUAGCCUCGCAACCAAUCUUUUUAACCAGGUUGACCUCGGAUCAGGUAGGGAUACCCGCUGAACUUAAGC